rnacentral:rRNA from 1 species
CGUAGGGUGCGAGCGUUAAUCGGAAUUACUAGGCGUAAAGCGUGCGCAGGCGGUUUUGUAAGACAGGCGUGAAAUCCCCGGGACUCAACCUGGGAACUGCGCUUGUGACUGCAAGGCUAGAGUACGGCAGAGGGGGGUGGAAUUCCACGUGUAGCAGUGAAAUGCGUAGAGAUGUGGAGGAACACCAAUGGCGAAGGCAGCCCCCUGGGUCGAUACUGACGCUCAUGCACGAAAGCGUGGGCAGCAAACAGGAUUAGAUACCCUGGUAGUCCACGCCCUAAACGAUGUCAACUAGGUGUUGGGUGGGUAAAACCAUUUAGUACCGGAGCUAACGCGUGAAGUUGACCGCCUGGGGAGUACGGCCGCAAGGUUA